rnacentral:snRNA from 1 species
GAGCUUCUAUUGCUCAUUUUGGCAAAUUGUCUGUGAAGAUUAGCAUGGCCCCUGUGGGAGGAUAACAUGCAAAUUCAUGAGGUGUUCAUAUUUUAU